CUACGGGUGGCUGCAGUGAGGAAUAUUGCGCAAUGGGGGAAACCCUGACGCAGCGACGCCGCGUGGAUGAUGAAGGCCUUCGGGUCGUAAAAUACUGUCAGAAGGAAAGAAGUGUAUGGUAGCUAAUAUCUGCCAUACUUGACGGUACCUUCAAAGGAAGCACCGGCUAACUCCGUGCCAGCGAGCCGCGGUAAUACGGAGGGUGCAAGCGUUGUUCGGAAUUACUGGGCGUAAAGCGCGCGUAGGCGGUUUUAUAAGUCAGAUGUGAAAGUCCACGGCUCAACCAUGGAAGUGCAUUUGAAACUGUAAGACUUGAGUAUUGGAGGGGGUAGUGGAAUUCCCGGUGUAGAGGUGAAAUUCGUAGAUAUCGGGAGGAAUACCGGUGGCGAAGGCGACUAUCUGGCCAAAUACUGACGCUGAGGUGCGAAAGCGUGGGGAGCAAACAGGAUUAGAUACCCCGGUAGUC
rnacentral:rRNA from 1 species